rnacentral:rRNA from 1 species
UACAGGGGGGGGCAAGCGUUGUUCGGAAUUACUGGGCGUAAAGGGUCUGUAGGUGGCCAACUAAGUCAAACGUGAAAUCCCUCAGCUUAACUGGGGAACUGCGUCUGAUACUGGAUGGCUCGAGUGUGGGAGAGGAAUGCGGAAUUCCAGGUGUAGCGGUGAAAUGCGUAGAUAUCUGGAGGAAUACCGGUGGCGAAGGCGGCAUCCUGGACCGACAUUGACGCUGAUGAGCGAAAGCUAGGGGAGCAAACGGG